UAGAUUCAACUUUCGGCAGAUCCCUGCUACACAUUCGCGCAUGCGCAUUGAGACUUUCGCUUUCACUUUGGAUUGUGAAAAAGAAAAACACUUCGCACGCAGGAUUGUGUUGAAUAUUUUCCCUGUGAUGUGAUCAUGGUGAUGCGGGCUGAGGUUUUGUUCCCUAUCUUUGUGACAUAUUGCUUUGUAAUCGAUGUUUCCUGACAGCAAAAUUCCUCCAAGUUCUCCUGUUUGUCAUCUAGCCAUCAAUGUGUAACAAGUUGUCUCCCUGUAAUAUAUCUAUCAAGCUGGAGUCAAGGCUGGUGAAGUUAAGAUUGGGUAUAUGAAAGAGAUGUUGAAUUGGUUGAGGAAGUCCCUGGAGAAGUUUGUUAAGGCAAUGAUCAUAAAGUUGAUCAAGGACCUCACAACUGUGUCUAUCAUAGACAGCAACUCCCAGCUGAAUGACAACAUCAUUGCCACUGAUGUAAUGACAAGAGCUUACAUGGUGGACCAUGAGGAUGAAAAUCAAACAUCAUGACUACAGAGGUUUGUCAGAAAAUUCUAUUAUGCAGUGACAUCAAAGAUGCUGGUCAAAUUUCUGUUCAAGGAUAUGGUGGUAUCCAACCUUGGUUUCCUAAAUCCAGCAAAUGGAGGAGAUCUACCACCAACUGCCCUAACUGUGCUAGCACAGAGAUUCACUUCCAUAGUGCCCUAGGAUCAAUGGGAACAAAGGAAAGACAAAUUCAUGGACUACCAAACAAAUCCUGCUGUGGACCUCCCAGGUUUUGUAGAAGACACAAGAACAGAUGUUUACUGCAUGG